GAUGAACGCUGGCGGCGUGCCUAAUACAUGCAAGUCGAGCGAACGGACGAGAAGCUUGCUUCUCUGAUGUUAGCGGCGGACGGGUGAGUAACACGUGGAUACCCUACCUAUCAGACUGGGAUAACUUCGGGAAACCGUAGCUAAUACCGUAUAAUAUUUUGCACCGCAUGGUUCAAAAGUGAAAGACGGUCUUGCUGUCACUUAUAGCUGGAUCCGCGCUGCAUUAGCUAGUUGGUAAGGUAACGGCUUACCAAGGCAACGAUGCAUAGCCGACCUGAGAGGGUGAUAGGCCACACUGGAACUGAGACACGGUCCAGACUCCUACGGGAGGCAGCAGUAGGGAAUCGUCCGCAAUGGGCGAAAGCAUGACGGAGCAACGCCGCGUGAGUGAUGAAGGUCUUCGGAUCGUAAAACUCUGUUAUGAGGGAAGAACAGAUGUGUAAGUAACUGUGCACAUCUUGACGGUACCUAAUCAGAAAGCCACGGCUAACUACGUG
rnacentral:rRNA from 1 species